rnacentral:rRNA from 1 species
GACGAACGCUGGCGGCGUGCUUAACACAUGCAAGUCGAACGGAAAGGCCCUGCUUUUGUGGGGUGCUCGAGUGGCGAACGGGUGAGUAACACGUGAGUAACCUGCCCUUGACUUUGGGAUAACUUCAGGAAACUGGGGCUAAUACCGGAUAGGAGCUCCUGCUGCAUGGUGGGGGUUGGAAAGUUUCGGCGGUUGGGGAUGGACUCGCGGCUUAUCGGCUUGUUGGUGGGGUAGUGGCUUACCAAGGCUUUGACGGGUAGCCGGCCUGAGAGGGUGACCGGCCACAUUGGGACUGAGAUACGGCCCAGACUCCUACGGGAGGCAGCAGUGGGGAAUAUUGCACAAUGGGCGGAAGCCUGAUGCAGCAACGCCGCGUGCGGGAUGACGGCCUUCGGGUUGUAAACCGCUUUCGCCUGUGACGAAGCGUGAGUGACGGUAAUGGGUAAAGAAGCACCGGCGAACUACGU